rnacentral:rRNA from 1 species
ACCUGACUGCUAUCGGAUUGAUACUAAGCCAUGUGAGUCUUUGUAGUAAUACAAGGCAUACGGCUCAGUAACACGUGGUCAACCUACCCUGUGGAUGAGGAUAAUCUCGGGAAACUGAGGAUAAUACUCAAUAGAUCAUAAUGCCUGGAAUGGUUUAUGGUUAAAAUGAUUCGUCGCCAUAGGAUGGGACUGCGGCCUAUCAGCUUGUUGGUGAGGUAAUGGCCCACCAAGGCGAUUACAGGUACGGGCUCUGAGAGGAGAAGCCCGGAGAUGGGUACUGAGACACGGACCCAGGCCCUAUGGGGCGCAGCAGGCGAGAAAACUUUGCAAUGUGCGAAAGCACGACAAGGUUAAUCCGAGUGAUUUCUGCUAAAGAAAUCUUUUGUUAGUCAUAAAACCACUGAUAAAUAAGGGGUGGGCAAGUUCUGGUGUCAGCCGCCGCGGUAAAACCAGCACCUCAAGUGGUCGGGAGGAUUAUUGGGCCUAAAGCAUCCGUAGCCUGCUUUGUUAGUUUUCGGUUAAAUCUAUGUGCUCAACGCAUAGGCUGCCGAAAAUACUGCAGAGCUAGGGAGUGGGAGAGGUAGACGGUACUCGGUAGGAAGGGGUAAAAUCCUUUGAUCUAUCGAUGACCACCUGUGGCGAAAGCGGUCUACCAGAACACGUUCGACGGUGAGGGAUGAAAGCUGGGGGAGCAAACCGGAUUAGAUACCCGGGUAGUCCCAGCUGUAAACGAUGCAGACUCGGUAAUGCAUUGGCAUAUAGCCAGUGCAGUGUCGCAGGGAAGCCGUUAAGUCUGCCGCCUGGGAAGUACGUACGCAAGUAUGAAACUUAAAGGAAUUGGCGGGGGAGCACCACAGGGGGUGAAGCCUGCCCUUC